rnacentral:rRNA from 1 species
GCGUGGGAGCAAACAGGAUUAGAUACCUGGUAGUCACGCUGUAAACGAUGUCGAUUUGAAGGUUGUUCCCUUGAGGAGUGGCUUUCGGAGCUAACGCGUUAAAUCGACCGCUGGGGAGUACGGCCGCAAGGUUAAAACUCAAAUGAAUUGACGGGGGCCCGCACAAGCGGUGGAGCAUGUGGUUUAAUUCGAUGCAACGCGAAGAACCUUACCUACUCUUGACAUCCAGAGAAUUUAGCAGAGAUGCUUUAGUGCCUUCGGGAACUCUGAGACAGGUGCUGCAUGGCUGUCGUCAGCUCGUGUUGUGAAAUGUUGGGUUAAGUCCCGCAACGAGCGCAACCCUUAUCCUUUGUUGCCAGCACGUAAUGGUGGGAACUCAAAGGAGACUGCCGGUGAUAAACCGGAGGAAGGUGGGGAUGACGUCAAGUCAUCAUGGCCCUUACGGGUAGGGCUACACACGUGCUACAAUGGCGUAUACAAAGAGAAGCGAACUUGCGAGAGUAAGCGGAACUCAUAAAGUACGUCGUAGUCCGGAUUGGAGUCUGCAACUCGACUCCAUGAAGUCGGAAUCGCUAGUAAUCGUAGAUCAGAAUGCUACGGUGAAUACGUUCCCGGGCCUUGUACACACCGCCCGUCACACCAUGGGAGUGGGUUGCAAAAGAAGUAGGUAGCUUAACCUUCGGGAGGGCGCUUACCACUUUGUGAUUCAUGACUGGGGUGAAGUCGUAACAAGGUAACCA